UGCCAGCAGCCGCGGUAAUACUGAAGGUGCAAACGUUAAUCGGAAUCACUGGGCGUAAAGCGCUCGUAGGUGGCUUUGUAAGUCAGAUGGGAAAGCCCACGGCUCAAUGCGUGGAAUUGCAUUUGGUACUGCAUCGCUAGAGUAUAGGAGAGGGAAGUGGAAUUUCUGGUGUAGGAGUGAAAUCCGUAGAGAUCAGAAGGAACACCGGUGGCGAAGGCGACUUCCUGGACUAUUACUGACACUGAGGAGGCAAAGCGUGGCGAGAAAACAGGGGUAGAUA
rnacentral:rRNA from 1 species